GACGAACGCUGGCGGCGUGCCUAAUACAUGCAAGUAGAACGCUGAAGGAGGAGCUUGCUUCUCUGGAUGAGUUGCGAACGGGUGAGUAACGCGUAGGUAACCUGCCUGGUAGCGGGGGAUAACUAUUGGAAACGAUAGCUAAUACCGCAUAAGAGUAGAUGUUGCAUGACAUUUGCUUAAAAGGUGCAAUUGCAUCACUACCAGAUGGACCUGCGUUGUAUUAGCUAGUUGGUGGGGUAACGGCUCACCAAGGCGACGAUACAUAGCCGACCUGAGAGGGUGAUCGGCCACACUGGGACUGAGACACGGCCCAGACCCCUACGGGAGGCAGCAGUAGGGAAUCUUCGGCAAUGGACGGAAGUCUGACCGAGCAACGCCGCGUGAGUGAAGAAGGUUUUCGGAUCGUAAAGCUCUGUUGUAAGAGAAGAACGAGUGUGAGAGUGGAAAGUUCACACUGUGACGGUAUCUUACCAGAAAGGGACGGCUAACUACGUG
rnacentral:rRNA from 1 species